rnacentral:tRNA from 1 species
GAGGAUAUAGCUCAGCAGUAGAGUGUAUGCCUAGUAUACAUGGGGUCCUGGGUUCAAUCUUCAGUACCUCCA